CAACCUGGUUGAUCCUGCCAGUAGUCAUAUGCUUGUCUCAGAGAUUAAGCCAUGCAUGUCUAAGUACAUACCUUAAAACGGUGAAACCGCGAAUGGCUCAUUAAAUCAGCUAUGGUUCCUUGGAUCGUACCUACUACAUGGAUAACUGUGGUAAUUCUAGAGCUAAUACAUGCCGCUAUGCCCUGACCCGCAAGGGAACGGGUGGAUUUAUUAGAACAGAACCAACCGGUUACGACUUCGGUCGUGGCUGUUGUACUCUGUGAUGACUCUGGAUAACUUUACUGAUCGCAGUCGGCCUUGUGUCGGCGACGGAUCCUUCAAAUGUCUGCCCUAUCAAUUGUCGAUGGUAGGUGAUCUGCCUACCAUGGUGAUAACGGGUAACGGGGAAUCAGGGUUCGAUUCCGGAGAGGGAGCCUGAGAAACGGCUACCACUUCUAAGGAAGGCAGCAGGCACGCAAAUUACCCAAUCCCGGCACGGGGAGGUAGUGACGAUAAAUACGGAUACGGGACUCGUUUGAGGCUCCGUAAUUCGAAUGAGUACACUUUAAAUCCUUUAACGAGGACCAACUGGAGGGCAAGUCUGGUGCCAGCAGCCGCGGUAACUCCAGCUCCAGAAGCGUAUAUUAAAGUUGUUGCAGUUAAAAAGCUCGUAGUUGGAUCUGGGUCGCAUGGCUACGCGCCGUUGCUUGUAUUCCUUGUUUGGUUUCGACUAAAUUUGGUUUAUGAGUCGGUGUAGUGGUUGUGCAGCCUUUCUGCCGUGUCUGUUUACAGGUGUUGGUGAAUCGGUGGGCUUGCUCGUCGGUUCAUUGACAUGCUUCCGAAUGCCUUUAAACGGGUGUUGGGGGCGGACGGCAUGUUUACUUUGAACAAAUUUGAGUGCUCAAAGCAGGCCAUUGUGCCUGAAAAGUCUUGCAUGGAAUAAUGGAAUAGGACUUCGGUUCUAUUUUGUUGGUUUUCGGAUCCGAAGUAAUGGUUAAGAGGGACAGACGGGGGCAUUUGUAUGGCGGUGUUAGAGGUGAAAUUCUUGGAUCGCCGCCAGACAAACUACAGCGAAAGCAUUUGCCAAGGAUGUUUUCAUUGAUCUGGAGCGAAAGUCAGAGGUUCGAAGACGAUCAGAUACCGUCCUAGUUCUGACCAUAAACGAUGCCAACUGACGAUCCGCGAUGGCCCUACUCUUGGCCCCGCGGGCAGUCCCCGGGAAACCCUUAAGUCUUUGGGCUCCGGGGGAAGUAUGGUUGCAAAGCUGAAACUUAAAGGAAUUGACGGAAGGGCACCACCAGGAGUGGAGCCUGCGGCUUAAUUCGACUCAACACGGGAAAUCUCACCCGGCCCGGACACUGUGAGGAUUGACAGAUUGAUAGCUCUUUCUUGAUUCGGUGGUUGGUGGUGCAUGGCCGUUCUUAGUUGGUGGAGCGAUUUGUCUGGUUAAUUCCGAUAACGAACGAGACUUUGGCCUGCUAAAUAGUAAGCCUGUCCUCUGUGUUCGUGCAGGUCGCGGUGUUUGAUGCCUCCUCGUGGGGUAUCAAUAUCGUUGUCCGGCGGAUGCGGCGCAGGUAUUUACUUCUUAGAGGGACAAGCGGCGUGAGAGUCGCACGAAAUUGAGCAAUAACAGGUCUGUGAUGCCCUUAGAUGUCCGGGGCCGCACGUGCGCUACAAUGACGGUUUCAGCGAGUUUGGAAACCUGGCCCGAAAGGGUUGGGCAAACUGAACCAUAACCGUCGUGACAGGGAUCGGGGCUUGCAAUUGUUCCCCGUGAACGAGGAAUUCCUGGUAAGUGCAAGUCAUAAGCUUGCGCUGAUUACGUCCCUGCCCUUUGUACACACCGCCCGUCGCUACUACCGAUUGAAUGGUUUAGCAAGGUCCUCGGAUUGGUGCCAUUGCAGCGGCUUCGGCCGCUCAAACGGUGCUGAGAAGACGACCAAACUUGAUCAUUUAGAGGAAGUAAAAGUCGUAACAAGGUUUCCGUAGGUGAACCUGCGGAAGGAUCAUUA
rnacentral:rRNA from 1 species